GGCUGUGGAUGGGACAGUCUCAAACUCCAUGUUCCCCCAGACCCAGGGCCCAUCCUGGCACCCAGCCCACAGUGGGCCCUGAGGAAGCAUGGACCUCCGGGGUAGCCAGAAUCCAUUCCUUCCCAUGUCAAGCCCUGUGCUGGGCCCACCCAGCCUCUUCUGUCCUGGGGAAAUCACCCCAGGGCUGGGGACCUGGCCCCAGGGCCCUCAUGGGAUGUUGUCACCAGGACCAAAAGCUGGGAGACCCAGAGCCAGAGAAUUAGGCUGAGAAUUGGGAGACAGAGCCUUCUUGGGACAGGUGACCUGCCUUGUACCAGCUGCCGUAUUCCCCAUAGGGGGCGCUGUCCCGGCGCUUAUCCUGGAGGAAAGAAUGGUCACAAGAAAGAUGAGCAGAACAGACCCUUGCACCUCAGGCCACAGCCCAAGACAUGUGCUAGGCCUGAAUGAUGGGCCAGGCUCCGAGGGACUCAGGAGCAGAUGACUGACCAUCCGGGGCCAGAGGUGGUUUCCCAGAGUGGGAGACACUGGGGCAGGCCCUCAAGGACUGCCAGGUUGUUUAGUGUCGCAGCCACCUGGAGGUGGGAGAACGGAAGCUUCUUGACUCAGGCCCUGCAGGACUCUGGGACCUGCAGGGGAUGGGGCACAGCCCCCACCUCCCACCCAACCCUCACUCACGGCUGGGUGGUCCUUGCCCAGUGUUUUCUCCCGGAUGGCCAGAGCAUCAUUGAGCAGCUCCUCACGCAGCCACUGGUUCUCCUGCACCAGACGCCGCACCUGCGCCCGCAGCUUCUGCUUCUCUGAUUCUACAGCCCCCAGGUGGCUCGACAAUGCCAAGAUCACCUGUGCAACCAGCCCAGCCUCUGCUGCCACAGCCAGUAGGUUACUGCUCCCUGCCUCAGGGCUAGCGCUUGCCCACAGAACUCUGCUAGAUGGCUGAAGGACCACCCAAAGACUCCAUCCCCACUUCUGCUGAGGGGCCACAGCAUCCCCUGCCUUUCUGCAGCUCCCAGGCACGGUGGCUCACGCCUGUAAUCCUAGCACUUCAGGAGGC
rnacentral:lncRNA from 1 species